AGCGUACACGGUGGAUGCCCUGGCAGUCAGAGGCGAUGAAGGACGUGCUAAUCUGCGAAAAGCGUCGGUAAGGUGAUAUGAACCGUUACAGCCGGCGAUGUCCGAAUGGGGAAACCCAGUGCAAUUCGUUGCACUAUCGUUAACUGAAUACAUAGGUUAACGAGGCGAACCGGGGGAACUGAAACAUCUAAGUACCCCGAGGAAAAGAAAUCAACCGAGAUUCCCCCAGUAGCGGCGAGCGAACGGGGAGCAGCCCAGAGUCUGAAUCAGCUUGUGUGUUAGUGGAACGGUCUGGAAAGUCCGACGGUACAGGGUGAUAGUCCCGUACACCAAAAUGCACAGGCUGUGAACUCGAAGAGUAGGGCGGGACACGUGGUAUCCUGUCUGAAUAUGGGGGGACCAUCCUCCAAGGCUAAAUACUCCUGACUGACCGAUAGUGAACCAGUACCGUGAGGGAAAGGCGAAAAGAACCCCGGCGAGGGGAGUGAAAAAGAACCUGAAACCGUGUACGUACAAGCAGUGGGAGCACCUUCGGGUGUGACUGCGUACCUUUUGUAUAAUGGGUCAGCGACUUAUAUUCUGUAGCAAGGUUAACCGUAUAGGGGAGCCGCAGGGAAACCGAGUCUUAACUGGGCGUUAAGUUGCAGGGUAUAGACCCGAAACCCGGUGAUCUAGCCAUGGGCAGGUUGAAGGUUGGGUAACACUAACUGGAGGACCGAACCGACUAAUGUUGAAAAAUUAGCGGAUGACUUGUGGCUGGGGGUGAAAGGCCAAUCAAACCGGGAGAUAGCUGGUUCUCCCCGAAAGCUAUUUAGGUAGCGCCUCGUGAAUUCAUCUUCGGGGGUAGAGCACUGUUUCGGCUAGGGGGUCAUCCCGACUUACCAACCCGAUGCAAACUACGAAUACCGAAGAAUGUUAUCACGGGAGACACACGGCGGGUGCUAACGUCCGUCGUGAAGAGGGAAACAACCCAGACCGCCAGCUAAGGUCCCAAAGUCAUGGUUAAGUGGGAAACGAUGUGGGAAGGCACAGACAGCCAGGAUGUUGGCUUAGAAGCAGCCAUCAUUUAAAGAAAGCGUAAUAGCUCACUGGUCGAGUCGGCCUGCGCGGAAGAUGUAACGGGGCUAAACCAUGCACCGAAGCUGCGGCAGCGACACUAUGUGUUGUUGGGUAGGGGAGCGUUCUGUAAGCCUGCGAAGGUGUGCUGUGAGGCAUGCUGGAGGUAUCAGAAGUGCGAAUGCUGACAUAAGUAACGAUAAAGCGGGUGAAAAGCCCGCUCGCCGGAAGACCAAGGGUUCCUGUCCAACGUUAAUCGGGGCAGGGUGAGUCGACCCCUAAGGCGAGGCCGAAAGGCGUAGUCGAUGGGAAACAGGUUAAUAUUCCUGUACUUGGUGUUACUGCGAAGGGGGGACGGAGAAGGCUAUGUUAGCCGGGCGACGGUUGUCCCGGUUUAAGCAUGUAGGCUGGUUAUCCAGGCAAAUCCGGAUAAUCAAGGCUGAGGUGUGAUGACGAGGCACUACGGUGCUGAAGUAACAAAUGCCCUGCUUCCAGGAAAAGCCUCUAAGCAUCAGGUAACAUCAAAUCGUACCCCAAACCGACACAGGUGGUCAGGUAGAGAAUACCAAGGCGCUUGAGAGAACUCGGGUGAAGGAACUAGGCAAAAUGGUGCCGUAACUUCGGGAGAAGGCACGCUGGUGUGUAGGUGAAGCCCCUGCGGGUGGAGCUGAGACCAGUCGAAGAUACCAGCUGGCUGCAACUGUUUAUUAAAAACACAGCACUGUGCAAACACGAAAGUGGACGUAUACGGUGUGACGCCUGCCCGGUGCCGGAAGGUUAAUUGAUGGGGUUAUCCGUAAGGAGAAGCUCUUGAUCGAAGCCCCGGUAAACGGCGGCCGUAACUAUAACGGUCCUAAGGUAGCGAAAUUCCUUGUCGGGUAAGUUCCGACCUGCACGAAUGGCGUAAUGAUGGCCAGGCUGUCUCCACCCGAGACUCAGUGAAAUUGAACUCGCUGUGAAGAUGCAGUGUACCCGCGGCAAGACGGAAAGACCCCGUGAACCUUUACUAUAGCUUGACACUGAACAUUGAGCCUUGAUGUGUAGGAUAGGUGGGAGGCUUUGAAGCGUGGACGCCAGUCUGCGUGGAGCCAACCUUGAAAUACCACCCUUUAAUGUUUGAUGUUCUAACGUUGGCCCCUGACCGGGGUUGCGGACAGUGUCUGGUGGGUAGUUUGACUGGGGCGGUCUCCUCCUAAAGCGUAACGGAGGAGCACGAAGGUUAGCUAAUCCUGGUCGGACAUCAGGAGGUUAGUGCAAUGGCAUAAGCUAGCUUGACUGCGAGCGUGACGGCGCGAGCAGGUGCGAAAGCAGGUCAUAGUGAUCCGGUGGUUCUGAAUGGAAGGGCCAUCGCUCAACGGAUAAAAGGUACUCCGGGGAUAACAGGCUGAUACCGCCCAAGAGUUCAUAUCGACGGCGGUGUUUGGCACCUCGAUGUCGGCUCAUCACAUCCUGGGGCUGAAGUAGGUCCCAAGGGUAUGGCUGUUCGCCAUUUAAAGUGGUACGCGAGCUGGGUUUAGAACGUCGUGAGACAGUUCGGUCCCUAUCUGCCGUGGGCGCUGGAGAAUUGAGGGGGGCUGCUCCUAGUACGAGAGGACCGGAGUGGACGCAUCACUGGUGUUCGGGUUGUCAUGCCAAUGGCACUGCCCGGUAGCUAAAUGCGGAAGAGAUAAGUGCUGAAAGCAUCUAAGCACGAAACUUGCCCCGAGAUGAGUUCU
rnacentral:rRNA from 1 species